UGGGGAAUAUUGCACAAUGGGGGAAACCCUGAUGCAGCGACGCCGCGUGAACGAAGAAGGUAUUCGUAUCGUAAAGUUCUGUCCUAUGGGAAGAUAAUGACAGUACCAUAGAAGAAAGCUCCGGCUAAAUACGUGCCAGCAGCCGCGGUAAUCCGUAGGGAGCGGGCGUUGUCCGGAAUUAUUGGGCGUAAAGGGUACGCAGGCGGUUUAAUAAGUCGAAUGUUAAAGAUCGGGGCUCAACCCCGCAAAGCAUUGGAAACUGAUAAACUUGAGUAGUGGAGAGGAAAGUGGAAUUCCUAGUGUAGUGGUGAAAUACGUAGAUAUUAGGAGGAAUACCAGUAGCGAAGGCGACUUUCUGGACACAAACUGACGCUGAGGUACGAAAGCGUGGGGAGCAAACAGG
rnacentral:rRNA from 1 species